GUGACUGCGUACCUUUUGUAUAAUGGGUCAGCGACUUAUAUUCUGUAGCAAGGUUAACCGAAUAGGGGAGCCGAAGGGAAACCGAGUCUUAACUGGGCGUUAAGUUGCAGGGUAUAGACCCGAAACCCGGUGAUCUAGCCAUGGGCAGGUUGAAGGUUGGGUAACACUAACUGGAGGACCGAACCGACUAAUGUUGAAAAAUUAGCGGAUGACUUGUGGCUGGGGGUGAAAGGCCAAUCAAACCGGGAGAUAGCUGGUUCUCCCCGAAAGCUAUUUAGGUAGCGCCUCGUGAAUUCAUCUCCGGGGGUAGAGCACUGUUUCGGCAAGGGGGUCAUCCCGACUUACCAACCCGAUGCAAACUGCGAAUACCGGAGAAUGUUAUCACGGGAGACACACGGCGGGUGCUAACGUCCGUCGUGAAGAGGGAAACAACCCAGACCGCCAGCUAAGGUCCCAAAGUCAUGGUUAAGUGGGAAACGAUGUGGGAAGGCCCAGACAGCCAGGAUGUUGGCUUAGAAGCAGCCAUCAUUUAAAGAAAGCGUAAUAGCUCACUGGUCGAGUCGGCCUGCGCGGAAGAUGUAACGGGGCUAAACCAUGCACCGAAGCUGCGGCAGCGACACUAUGUGUUGUUGGGUAGGGGAGCGUUCUGUAAGCCUGUGAAGGUGUACUGUGAGGUAUGCUGGAGGUAUCAGAAGUGCGAAUGCUGACAUAAGUAACGAUAAAGCGGGUGAAAAGCCCGCUCGCCGGAAGACCAAGGGUUCCUGUCCAACGUUAAUCGGGGCAGGGUGAGUCGACCCCUAAGGCGAGGCCGAAAGGCGUAGUCGAUGGGAAACAGGUUAAUAUUCCUGUACUUGGUGUUACUGCGAAGGGGGGACGGAGAAGGCUAUGUUGGCCGGGCGACGGUUGUCCCGGUUUAAGCGUGUAGGCUGGUUUUCCAGGCAAAUCCGGAAAAUCAAGGCUGAGGCGUGAUGACGAGGCACUACGGUGCUGAAGCAACAAAUGCCCUGCUUCCAGGAAAAGCCUCUAAGCAUCAGGUAACAUCAAAUCGUACCCCAAACCGACACAGGUGGUCAGGUAGAGAAUACCAAGGCGCUUGAGAGAACUCGGGUGAAGGAACUAGGCAAAAUGGUGCCGUAACUUCGGGAGAAGGCACGCUGAUAUGUAGGUGAAGCGACUUGCUCGUGGAGCUGAAAUCAGUCGAAGAUACCAGCUGGCUGCAACUGUUUAUUAAAAACACAGCACUGUGCAAACACGAAAGUGGACGUAUACGGUGUGACGCCUGCCCGGUGCCGGAAGGUUAAUUGAUGGGGUUAGCGGUAACGCGAAGCUCUUGAUCGAAGCCCCGGUAAACGGCGGCCGUAACUAUAACGGUCCUAAGGUAGCGAAAUUCCUUGUCGGGUAAGUUCCGACCUGCACGAAUGGCGUAAUGAUGGCCAGGCUGUCUCCACCCGAGACUCAGUGAAAUUGAACUCGCUGUGAAGAUGCAGUGUACCCGCGGCAAGACGGAAAGACCCCGUGAACCUUUACUAUAGCUUGACACUGAACAUUGAGCCUUGAUGUGUAGGAUAGGUGGGAGGCUUUGAAGUGUGGACGCCAGUCUGCAUGGAGCCGACCUUGAAAUACCACCCUUUAAUGUUUGAUGUUCUAACGUUGGCCCGUUAUCCGGGUUGCGGACAGUGUCUGGUGGGUAGUUUGACUGGGGCGGUCUCCUCCUAAAGAGUAACGGAGGAGCACGAAGGUUGGCUAAUCCUGGUCGGACAUCAGGAGGUUAGUGCAAUGGCAUAAGCCAGCUUGACUGCGAGCGUGACGGCGCGAGCAGGUGCGAAAGCAGGUCAUAGUGAUCCGGUGGUUCUGAAUGGAAGGGCCAUCGCUCAACGGAUAAAAGGUACUCCGGGGAUAACAGGCUGAUACCGCCCAAGAGUUCAUAUCGACGGCGGUGUUUGGCACCUCGAUGUCGGCUCAUCACAUCCUGGGGCUGAAGUAGGUCCCAAGGGUAUGGCUGUUCGCCAUUUAAAGUGGUACGCGAGCUGGGUUUAGAACGUCGUGAGACAGUUCGGUCCCUAUCUGCCGUGGGCGCUGGAGAACUGAGGGGGGCUGCUCCUAGUACGAGAGGACCGGAGUGGACGCAUCACUGGUGUUCGGGUUGUCAUGCCAAUGGCACUGCCCGGUAGCUAAAUGCGGAAGAGAUAAGUGCUGAAAGCAUCUAAGCACGAAACUUGCCCCGAGAUGAGUUCUCCCUGACUCCCUGAGAGUCCUGAAGGAACGUUGAAGACGACGACGUUGAUAGGCCGGGUGUGUAAGCGCAGCGAUGCGUUGAGCUAACCGGUACUAAUGAACCGUGAGGCUUAACCUUACAACGCCGAAGGUGUUU
rnacentral:rRNA from 2 species